rnacentral:rRNA from 1 species
GCUAUGAAUGUUAAAUAUGUUACUUUCUGAUUACAGCUACGCGUAAUUUCUGGGCGUCGCAAGAUUAAAACUCAAGGAAUUGACGGGGACCCGCAAGCGGGGACAUGUGGUAAUUCAUGCAACGCGAAAAACCUUACCACUUCUUGACAUGGAAAUCAUACCUAUUCAAGGGAUAGGGUCGGUUCGGCCGGAUUUUACACAGGUGUUGCAUGGCUGUCGUCAGUGGUCGUGAGAUGUUGGGUUAAGUCCCGCAACGAGCGCCCCUCAUCCUUAGUUGCCAUCAGUAAUGCUGGCACUUUAAGGAAACUGCCAGUGAUAACUGGAGGAAGAUGGGGAUGAUGUCAAGUCAUAUGGCCCUUA